UACGUAGGGUGCGAGCGUUAAUCGGAAUUACUGGGCGUAAAGCGUGCGCAGGCGGUUUUGUAAGACAGAUGUGAAAUCCCCGGGCUUAACCUGGGAACUGCGUUUGUGACUGCAAGACUAGAGUGCGGCAGAGGGGGGUGGAAUUCCACGUGUAGCAGUGAAAUGCGUAGAGAUGUGGAGGAACACCGAUGGCGAAGGCAGCCCCCUGGGUCGACACUGACGCUCAUGCACGAAAGCGUGGGUAGCAAACAGG
rnacentral:rRNA from 1 species